rnacentral:rRNA from 1 species
CUACGGGUCGCACCAGUGGGGAAUAUUGCGCAAUGGGCGAAAGCCUGACGCAGCAACGCCGCGUGAGUGAUGAAGGCCUUCGGGUCGUAAAGCUCUGUCGGGAGGGAAGAACACCUUCGGGUCUGACGGUACCUCCCGAGGAAGCACAGGCUAACUCCGUGCGAGCAGCCGCGGUAAUACGGAGUGUGCAAGCGUUGUUCGGAAUUACUGGGCGUAAAGCGCGCGUAGGCGGCUUGAUAAGUCAGAUGUGAAAUCCCUCGGCUUAACCGAGGAACUGCAUUUGAAACUGUCAGGCUUGAGUACGGGAGGGGGAAGCGGAAUUCCCAGUGUAGAGGUGAAAUUCGUAGAUAUUGGGAGGAACACCAGCGGCGAAGGCGGCUUCCUGGACCGAUACUGACGCUGAGGCGCGAAAGCGUGGGGAGCAAACAGGAUUAGAUACCCUGGUAGUC